rnacentral:tRNA from 1 species
AUGGAAAUCUCUGUAAUUUUUAGAUAGUAUGAAAUUUUUAGAUAGUAUAAGGGCGGAUGUAGCCAAGUGGAUCAAGGCA